AAGUCGUAACAAGGUUUCCGUAGGUGAACCUGCGGAAGGAUCAUUACAGAGUUCAUGCCCUUCGGGGUAGAUCUCCCACCCUUGUGUAUCAUUAUAGAAUGUUGCUUUGGCGGGCCGCGUGCCUAGCACGCCUCGAUUCGCGUCGAGCGUGUCCGCCAGAGGACCCCUAAACUUUGAAUGUUAGUGUCGUCUGAGUACUAUUAAAUAGUUAAAACUUUCAACAACGGAUCUCUUGGUUCUG
rnacentral:misc_RNA from 1 species